GAAGGAGAAGAGCAAGCGGCCACCAUUUCUUGGUUGUUUAGAGCUGAUCCCUCAUUGCCCUGAACCUCAGAUCAGAGGAACCCAAGUGCCUGGCCUCAUCCCCUGCACUAAGGGAUCAGCAGCCAAUGCAGGAAACACCUGGGACUCAGCAACCAAAUGAUUUGAAGGAAGACGGAAAAAUGUAAAGAUGAAGGAGCCGUGUGCAAUCUCAGACCUCCAGCCCAACCAGAACAAGUCCAGGAGGAGACAAAACAGAAGAAAUUGGAAGUCACACACCUGAAAUUUCUGAAAUGGUCUGGACUAUUCUCCUCCAUUCACCAGGCCAGAAGAGAAGUCACGUGAAGGAAUUCAACUGUUUUGGUCCCAGGACUCCGUAGAACCACAUGGCUGCAUGAUUCAGGAUUGGUGUUCCACUGGUAGCAAUCCCAGCACUCAGGAGGCUGAGGCAGGAGAUCAUCGUUCAACUCAGUGGUCCACUUUGGAAAUAUUCUGCCAUCUGAUUGCAUUUCUGUGACUUGUGGGGCAAGACCAUCCCUGGGAGUGCCCCGAAUACAGAGAACUCUCAACAGGAAGUACAAAGAAUGCAAACAACCCAUUUUUUUCUAUAAUACUUAGAAUUGAAAACAGGACCUACACAUUCUAGGGGAGUGCUCCACCACUAAGCUACAUCUUCAACCCUUUUCUUUAUUUUGAGGCAAAAUUGUGCUAAAUUGUCUCAAACGUACAAUCUUCCUGCCUCAGCCUCCCUGGUAGCUGAGAUUACUGGUAUGUGUUACCAUUAACCAACCCAAUUUUAAAAAUGAGCAAAAGAUUUGAACAGAUACUUCACAGAGAAAUUGUAGGCAUGGAAAAUAAACACAUGAAAAUAUAAUCAAUAGCAUUAGGAAAAUGUAAAUUAAAACCAUGAUAUUCUACUGCAUUUAUUAGAAUGGCUAAAUUUUGGACUGGGAGUUUAGCUCAGUGGUGCAAGCACCUGCUUGGCAAGUGUGAGGUUCUGGGUUCAAUCCCUGGUACAAAAAAAGAGGCUAAAAUAAAAGACUAACUAUACUAAUUACUGGCAAAGAGAUGAAUAAAGUAGAAGUUUCACACAUUGCUAGAAAAAAUAUAAAAUAAACAACCACUUUGGGACUUGGCAUUGUAUUAUAAAUGAGAUACGUACUUAUUAUAUGAUUUAGCCUUUCUGCUUCCAAGUAUUUAUCCAAGAAAGCAUAUGGCUAUUAGAAUGCAAACAUAUGUAUUUGUACACAAAUGUUCAUAGCAGCUUUGUUUUUAAUGGCUCCAAAUUAGAAACAAUCCAAAUGUCUCUCAACAGUUGAACAGAUAAACAAAUUGGCAUAUCAAAAAACCUGAAUAUUUAGCAAUAAAAAUGAAUGAACUUUUGAUACAUACACUAUGAAUAAAUCACCACAGAUAAACCAGUAACACAAUUAUUUUUUAAAAAACACAAACAAGCCAGGUAUGAGGGCGUACACCUGCAAUCCCAGCACUCAGGAGGCUGAGGCAGGAGAUCACCAGUAGUUUGAGGCCAGCCUGAACUACAAAGUGAGGUCUUGUUUCAAAAAACAAAACAAAACAAAAAGAAGAAGAAAAGGAGGAAGAAGAGGAGAAAGAAAGGAAAGAAGAAGGAAGUAAGAAAGGAAACAAAAAGAUGCACAUGAUGCUCUGUUUCAUUUUAGAAAGUACAAACUAAUUUGUACCAGCAGAAAGCAGAUCAGCAGUUUCCUAUGGCUGGGGGUAAGGGCAAGAAGGAGAAAUUACAGAGGUAUGAAGAACUUUUGAGGAUUGCAGAGAGGCAUGAAGAAAUAUUUGGAUACAUGUAUUAUUUUGAUUGGGUGAUGGUAACUUAGGCUACACACAUACAUUACAAUUCAUUGCAUUGUACACUUCAGGAACCGUGGGAACCUGAGGGAGGAGAGUUGAAUGUGUGAGCCCACCCUGCACAAUGGAGUGGCUUAGUGACUGUUUUAAAAUUGAAACAAAUGUGCCAGGCAUUUUGGUACAUGCCUGAAAGCCCAGCACUCAAGAGGCUGAGGCAGGAGAACUGGUGUGAGUUUGAGAGCAGCCUGGGCUACAAAGUGAGUUCAGGUUAGCCUGAACUACAUAAUGAGACCCUGUCUCAAAAUGACCAAAUAAAUGAAUUAAAACAAAUAAAUGCAUAAGUAAAUAGGGGUUGGAGAUGUAGCUCAGUGUGAAAGCGCAGGGUUCAAUAGGGUACCAAAGUCACAUCGGCUGAUUGAGAACCAAGAAGAUCUCCACACCCCAUAAGCAACUGGCUGAUUCGGAGGGUCACAGGCAGAGAAGACAGCAACUGAAGUAAAGAAACAAUUUAAUGCUUGUAUUGUUUGAAUAACUUUGAGGCCUAAAGCCAGUAGUCUGAACAUCUAUUGGAGGACAACAAUACACAAUAUUGGGGAUUUUGUACUGUCUUGUUUUUGUAAUCCAAUAUUGUUCUCAUUGUUUUGCGUUGUUCUGUUUUAUUCUCUUUAAA